rnacentral:rRNA from 1 species
AUGAAGAUUGGCCAAUGGCAACACAGCACAGGACCCCGAACACACAUGCACACGCUUCCUAUCAAGAUGAAAAGAGGCCUACUAGUAGUACUUUGGUCCUUGUUCUGCCUCUGUGUGGCAGACACAGCUACCGGCAACAAGCCCAAACACCCUAUUGAGUUUGAUCAAUUGGAAAUAUCCAGGAAAUAUGUUCCAGCAAAACAGCAUGCAUCUGCGAGCAAGAGCCCUUCUAGUUCUUCAGUCCAUGGUGGCUCACAAGAUUAUCAGCGAAAGAGGGAUAAGAUCAUAGCAAUGCCAGGCCAGAUGGAGGAAGCGGAAUUCACACAAUAUGCAGGAUAUGUCACGGUGGAUGCAAAUGCUGGAAGGGCUUUGUUCUACUAUUUUGCUGAGGCUCCUCAAGAUCCUUCCAACAAACCACUAGUCCUAUGGAUGAAUGGAGGCCCUGGUUGUUCAUCCUUUGGAGCUGGAGCCAUGCUAGAACUUGGACCCUUCUCUGUCCAUAGUGAUAACAAGACACUGUACAAGAAAAAACAUGCAUGGAACACAGUAGCAAAUAUGCUGUUUGUUGAGAUCCCAGCCGGUGUUGGGUACUCAUACUCCAACACGACAUCAGACUAUCACAACACUGGUGACAAAAGAAGCACAGAUGAUGCGUACACCUUCCUUGUCAAUUGGCUGGAGAGAUUUCCCAAGUACCGAGACCGUGAUUUCUUCAUAACCGGCGAGAGUUAUGCUGGCCACUAUGUACCAGAGCUAGCUAAUUUGAUUAUUUCUAACAACAGAGCCAGAGGCGCGACUAAUGUCAAGCUUAAAGGUGUUGCUAUCGGCAACGCAGACUUGCAAUACAAUUUGACUCUAAGAGCGACGUUUGACUACUUCUGGAUGCAUGCUAUGAUUUCUGGAAAAACCUACAGAACUGUACAGGCCAACUGUGGCUUCAACGGGACAUAUACUAAAGAUUGUGAUAAUGCCAUGAACUUGGCCAUAAAGGAGAAGGGUAAUGUUGAUGACUACAACAUCUAUGCACCAAUAUGCCGUGAUGCCUCCAGUCCUCUCAGAUCAAGUGACCCGGUGGUGUUCGGUGAUCCAUGCACAAAUCACUAUGUCUCAUCUUAUCUAAAUCGUCCUGAGGUCCAAAGAGCCCUACACGCAAACACAACAGGGUUGAACUACCCAUGGACGGAUUGCAGUCAACUUGUAUUCGAUAACUGGAAAGAUUCACCGGAGACCGUGCUGCCAUCGAUCAGGAAACUCAUUUCAAGUGGCACAAGGGUAUGGCUGUACAGUGGUGAUAUGGAUGCAGUAUGUUCUGUGACCUCGACCCAAUACGCACUGGACAUUCUUGACCUGCCCACAGAAACAUCUUGGCGCCCAUGGCGCGUCAACAAUGAGGUUGCCGGCUAUGUGGUUGGGUACAAGGGCCUGGUGUUUGCAACAGUCAAAGGAGCGGGGCACAUGGUCCCUUACUAUCAGCCCCGCAGGGCCCUAGCGCUAUUCUCAUCCUUCCUAGAAGGAAAGCUUCCGCCACAAUGA